AGCCUCUGGAAAGAACACUAAAGUGUGAUUGGGUUUUUACACCACUGUGUGAGAUAUGCCUCCCUUGAACCUUACUGUAUCAGCACAGUAGCCAGGUGAAG
rnacentral:snoRNA from 1 species